rnacentral:miRNA from 1 species
UUUCCCUUUCCAUCCUGGCAG